rnacentral:rRNA from 1 species
AGUGAACGCUGGCGGUAGGCCUAACACAUGCAAGUCGAACGGCAGCACAGUAAGAGCUUGCUCUUACGGGUGGCGAGUGGCGGACGGGUGAGGAAUACAUCGGAAUCUACUUUUUCGUGGGGGAUAACGUAGGGAAACUUACGCUAAUACCGCAUACGACCUACGGGUGAAAGCAGUGGAUCUUCGGACCUUGCGCGAUUGAAUGAGCCGAUGUCGGAUUAGCUAGUUGGCGGGGUAAAGGCCCACCAAGGCGACGAUCCGUAGCUGGUCUGAGAGGAUGAUCAGCCACACUGGAACUGAGACACGGUCCAGACUCCUACGGGAGGCAGCAGUGGGGAAUCUUGGGCAAUGGGCGCAAGCCUGAUCCAGCCAUACCGCGUGAGUGAAGAAGGCCUUCGGGUUGUAAAGCCCUUUUGUUGGGGAAGAAAAGCAGCAGGAUAAUACCCGGCUGUUCUGACGGUACCCAAAGAAUAAGCACCGGCUAACUUCGUG